ACACGAUUGCUUUUGAAAUGGUUCAACAAAGUGAUGUCUCUUCUGUUUAAAGAACAGGAAACAACAACAACAACAAAGCCAGUGAAAAACAAAUGUCAGGGUAUUCCUAUCCACAGGAUGACUCUGAUUUCCAAGUUUGUCUUCAUUAACGUUCUAGUCCACUUUCAUCGGUCCCCAUCCUCUCCUGGUGAGCUUUUUCCCACUCCCAUUCCCAAAUACCAUCACAGAGACAUACAUUGAAACCUCCCCGUUAUUUCUCUUACCUUGAUCUGCCUUGCUCUGACUUACAACUUGAUCGUAUUCCUUUCUCUCUCUCAUCAAAGUAUGUUUGUCCUGAUUCUCUCCAGAGUCAGCAUUUGACAUAGUAAUAAUAAUGUUACUAAGUACAUGUCUAGAUGCUCUACUUGUAUAAAUCCAUUUAUGCUCAAAACAACCCUCAGGUAGUUGCUAUUCUUGUGCUUGUUUACAGAUGGAGGAAUGGGAGGCACAGUGUUGAUAAGCGUGUUGUUUACGUCUCACAGCUGGCAAGUGGUGGAGUCAGGAUUCAGGCUCAGGUGAUCUGGCCCCAGAGCCCACACUAUUCACGUCUGCUUUUCUCAGGCUCUCAUAGAGGGGAGAACAGCAGUGUCAGGUCAGAUAGACAUGGGUUUGAAUGCAGAUCCUGACGUUUCACUGGCUGUUUGACCUUGGGCAAAUAGGUAACUUCUCUGAGCAUUAGUUUCCUCAACAGUGAAAUAGGGAUAUUUAUGUGAAGAAAACUGAGAUAACCCCCAUAAAAGUUCAUGACCCUAUAGAUGCUUGGGCAAGUUUAAAGUUUAGCUAACCCAUUCUCUCCCUCUGUUCUCUCCUCAACUACAUAAUUUAGCUGAUUUCUGUAUGCUGAUGGGGAAAGUGGUUUAAUAGGCUGCCUCUCUCUUGAGGUAGCUUCAGGCAUUGUGAUUUUUCAAAUUGGCAGACUUUUCAAUGCUUCAAUCCACCUAGGCGAGGACUCCAUCUUCUCUGAAGUUGUGCCAAGUCACAUGUGCUUGGGGGGACUUGUUUUUAAUCUAGAACUUUGAUAUUUCACUUUACACGUGCUCGUUGAUGUGAUCUUCAGGAAAUGUUUGGAAUGAAGAAAUGAAGGGGAGCAGCACCCACCUGCAUCUGGGGAAAGAGUCACCCUGAGCUAACAUCUGUUGCCAAUCUUCCUCUUUUUUUUUCUCCCCAAAGCCCCAGUGCACAGUUGUAGAUCCUAAUUGUAAGUCCUUCUAGUUCUUCUAGGUGAGCCACCACCACAGCAUGGCAACUGACAGUUGGGUGGUGUGGUUCCAUGACCGGGAAACGAACCCAGGCCGCCAAAGUGGUGAGAGUGCCAAACUUUAACCAGCAGGCCAUCAGGGCUGGCUCGGUAGAUCUAUUUUUAAUGUUUUGAAGAAUCUCCACCAUUUUGCAUUUCCACCAACAGUGUUCUAAUUUCCCCACAUCCUUGCCAACACUCUGUAUCUUAUGUUUUUGUUUUUGUUUUUAUAAUACCCAUCCUAAAAGAUGUGAGGUGAUCUUAUUGUGGUUUUGAUUUGCACCUCUCUGAUGAUUAGUGACACUGAACAUCUUUUCAUAUACCUGUUGGCCAUUUUAUAUAUUUGAAAAUUAACUCCCUAUUUGAUGUAAAGUUUGCAAAUAUUUUCUCCCACUCUGUAGGGUUCACUCUCUUGUUUCCUUUUCCUCACUCUAGUUUUUGCUAUUGUUGUUGUUAUUUGUUUGCUUGUUUUUGUUUUUGUUUUUUUUAGGAUGAUUAACCCUGAGCUAACAUCUGCUGCCAAUCCUCCUCUUUUUGCUGAGGAAGACUGGUCCUCAGCUAGCAUCCGUGCCCAUCUUUCUCUACUUUGUAUGUGGGAUGCCUACCACAGCAUGGCUUUCUAAGCAGUGCCAUGUCUGCACCCGGGAUCCGAGCCUGCAAACCCAGGGCCGCUGAAGCGGAACAUACA
rnacentral:lncRNA from 1 species